AUGAACUGGGGUUGAGUGGCUGUUGCCCUCGAUCGUCAACACCUUGUGAAUUGUAUUUGUAUUUGGCAAGUGAUGUAGCAGUUGGCUGCAGAGUUUUGCCCUCAGCAGUUAGCUGGGAAGUAAAAGCUUGUCUCUUUAUUGAACCAUAAUGCUUUUUUAGUCUGAGCAAUAAAUCAAAGAAAUAAUGAAA
rnacentral:misc_RNA from 1 species